rnacentral:rRNA from 1 species
CCAGACUCCUACGGGAGGCAGCAGUGAGGAAUAUUGGUCAAUGGUCGGGAGACUGAACCAGCCAAGCCGCGUGAGGGAUGAAGGUACAGAGUAUCGUAAACCUCUUUUGUCAGGGAACAAAGGCGGGGACGUGUCCCCGGAUGAGUGUACCUGAGGAAAAAGCAUCGGCUAACUCCGUGCCAGCAGCCGCGGUAAUACGGAGGAUGCGAGCGUUAUCCGGAUUUAUUGGGUUUAAAGGGUGCGUAGGCGGAAUGCCAAGUCAGGGGUAAACUCGGGGGGCUAAACCUCGCUCCGCCGGUGAAACUGGGGGGCUGGAGUUGGAGAGAAGUACGCGGAAUGCGCGGUGUAGCGGUGAAACGCUUAGAUAUCGCGCAGAACCCCGAGUGCGAAGGCAGCGUACCGGCUCCACACUGACGCUGAGGCACGAAAGCGUGGGUAUCGAACAGGAUUAGAUACCCGCGUA